rnacentral:piRNA from 1 species
ACUACUGAUCAGUGGUAAAGUGCUUGCCUA